rnacentral:lncRNA from 1 species
UUAAGCCAAGAUUGGAGACCCAAUUUUAUUAAACCACGUUCAUUCAACCAAGCCAAAACAAAUAGGGAUUUCGAUGGAGGAAUCUGAAAAAUUUUCAACCCUCAAUCGGGAUCAAAAUCAAGGAGUGGGAGGAGCGUUAGACAUCGAUAUCAUACACCAGAGGAUUAGGAGGAGCGGGGAUGGCGAUAGGGUGAAUUGGAGGCCGCGGUGACAGUGACUUAUGAUGCUCCCUGGAAUGACAAACAUCGCCAUAGAUGGAUUCUGCGGAUUGAGGAAGAUGAGAGGACUAGGAAGAACGGGGAUGGCGAUACGGUGAUCAAUCGGAGGCGGUGGUGAUAGUGACUUGUGAUAUUCGCUGGAAUGACGAACGUCGCCAUAGAUGGGAAAGAUGACUGGUAAAAUUUCAGCUUAAACCCCAAGUUUUUUAUGGUUGCAAUCCCCAAUUAUUUGUUAAGUACUUUCGUAAUCUGUAACUUUCAACUACCAUAAGCCGCGAUCUAAUGACUUUUUCAUUUAAUACAAAACUGGUCC